rnacentral:rRNA from 1 species
UAAAGUCUUAUUGUGUCCGUUCGCUAGGUCGUCUAGCCGGAGGGGGUCGUCGAGGAGCGGAGAUGGUCCGGUAGAGGGGGAAGGGAAGUCCAGGGGUCGUCUAGCGGCCGCAGCGGGGGUCCAGCAAAGGGAUCCAGCGAGUUCGAGCCGGGCCCGACAGGCGGCCGUGGCGGUUAGCGGAGCGAAGUCCAGCGGGUUCGGUCGGCCGCGGCGGGGAGUCUAGCUCCAGUGGCCGUCGUCUAGUUCCAGUGGCCGUCGAUUAGCGGAGCGAAGUCCAGCGGGUUUCGCACGAGGGUACCACCCGCGAGGCUCUCCUGCUGCUGCCGCAGAAGUCCACCUGUUGUAACUACUUUCGCUGAAUAAACUACUAUACCAAGUUCUCUACCUUGUCUAAAAUGAGUUAAGUCCCCUCGGGGCACUUUCACCUGGAAGAUGACUAUUGGCGCACUUAUUACGAGUGGUUUUAGUCGUAAAGUCUCUACCGUCGUGGUGACGGAGAUGGAGACCAUGUCUACUACGUAUACAUAUAGGGGAAAGAGCGUUAGAAAGCCUUUAACUAAGCCACCUCCAACACCCCCGUUUCGUUUCUUGUCCCCUACAAAGAAAGUCGCUCGCCUACCAACCCCAGUUUCUCAUGUGACAUAUGAACAACUUUCACUCCUCACCGCUUCUACUCACCCUUUAACUCGCAGCUAUGGCACUUAAAAUACGUGAAAUAGUUGUUGAGUUCGAGAAGAAAAGACUCUUUCCUAACUCAGAAGGUGGGGGUACCUAUUUACAACUCUUUCUCAGGUCAUUUUACAAACCCUUACGUAGGGGUCUACAACAGUUACCUUCUUCACCAGAAUAAGUUCUGACGAAUACGAGAAACGAGCAGAGAUUAAUAGGGAAACCUUGUGGGAGGGGAGACCAAUUAAAAAACAGUGGCUCCUGUAGACGAAUACUUGUUUCGAAAAAUUUCUACGAAAAAGGCGCUAGAAACUUUUCCGACUCGUCGCUAAAUGUAUGGUUUCUAAGUCUGACGUUACCUCGAGACGUGUUCCUAAGAUGGAGCAACCCGUUCUGUUAUAGUGAACAACACCUCCUAUCCGGAGUCUUCAGCUGAUCUGUCAACAACCUCAAAGUUGUGAUGUUAACACACCCUACAGUAUCCGUAAACCUACGACCUGCUUGUAACGACGUUCUUGAACAUGUUUGAUAACCUACCUUGUUCGGGGCCAAAACACGAAUGUGACCUGUCAAUAAAACACGGAGAACAGUGUGUUUACUAUGACGCCAAGACGGUCGUUCUCAAAAUGUGGUGACCCUAAAAAGAAAUAUAGGUCAAAGGGUCGAUCGUUUUCGUAAAAACCUGAGGUAGAUACUGGUCGGAUACGAGACACAUUCACGACAGUUGGGAAAGGAAAAACGAUUUCACGGACGAGACGAAUUGUAGUACUCAUAGGCCUUCUUUUAUCGACGGUACGAAGGAACAGAGGUUACAGGAAAAGCCUUGAGGUAUAAAUCUCCUAAUCCUCAAGCUUCUAUGGAAGAACUACCCUUACUGAAAAAACGCGAAGCACUGGAACAACUAGAGAGCUUCCCUCGAAAACGUCGUGAAGGUCAAUUCCACGUCUGGCAUAGUUUAUCCUAUGAACUUGUAUAGUGUCUCGUUACGGAACACACGAUACUACGGCCGUAAGGAACACGACGAGCUGUUCGAACACUACUGGGGGACCGGGAAUAAAAAGGUAAAGUCCUUCUACUUCGAUGUUCUACACCAAGAACACCCAGUUAAAAGGUGUUUGUUACGAAGUCCUUUUAAUCACAGACGGGGACACCAUUCUCACGGUCGUGUCCGUGCUUUUAGCACCGCGAUCUUGUUAGAUAUCUUAGUUUGUCCGACAGUUGACUCAAGUAGGGUGGGGGAAGAAAAAGAAGUAGCAGUUCUAAAAAGCGGCCAUAAGAAAGCUUUCGUUCCAGUCUAUUCUAAACCUUUGGCUCUCUGUCGUUAGGACACUAAAACUACCCAAGUAACGGCCUAUGCAGAUACACUCAAGUCGAAUCGACGUACACACCCCAAAUAGUAUUGUUAAAAAAUGAACGCGCUUACAACAUAUAAAACGACGCUGUCAUAUCGUUUCUCUUCCCUAAGAGUGACGACAAAGACAUACAACAGGUU